rnacentral:rRNA from 1 species
CCUACGGGAGGCUGCAGGGGGGAAUAUUGCACAAUGGGGGAAACCCUGAUGCAGCGACGCCGCGGGAAGGAAGAAGUAUUGCGGUAUGUAAACUGCUAUCAGCAGGGAAGAAAAUGACGGUACCUGACGAAGAAGCCCCGGCUAACUACGUGCCAGCAGCCGCGGUAAUACGUAGGGGGCAAGCGUUAUCCGGAUUUACUGGGUGUAAAGGGAGCGUAGGCGGUUUCGCAAGUCAGAAGUGAAAGCCCGGGGCUCACCUCCGGGACGGCUUUUGAAACUGUUGAACGAGAUUGCAGGAGAGGUCAGUGGACUUCCUCGUGUCGCGGUGAAAUGCGUAGAUAUUAGGAGGCACCCCAGUGGCGCCGGCUGCUUACUGGACUGUACCUGCCGCUGCGGCUCG